UUGAAUAUCCGGACAUAAAUUAGUCUGCUAAAUGACAAGGAAAAGCAAGAGCACCAUCAUCAGAGAAUCCUCAAAGAUCAGUCGAGACUUUAAUGAUUCAAAACCCCCAAAAUUAAAAAAAAGGAGCCCCAGGCUCACGACAGGUAAUUUAUAAAGAUCAUACAAACACUGAAUCUUUCUGGUUUCAUAGCAUAUCAGGACCACAAAUAUUCAAAACCUCAUGCAUGCUGUAACCAUACUAAACGACUAGAUUCAU
rnacentral:lncRNA from 1 species